rnacentral:rRNA from 1 species
GAUGAACGCUGGCGGCGUGCCUAAUACAUGCAAGUCGAGCGAACAGACCAGGUUCUUGCUCCUCUGACGUUAGCGGCGGACGGGUGAGUAACACGUGGAUAACCUACCUACAAGACUGGGAUAACUUCUAGAAACCGGAGCUAAUACCGGAUAAUAUAUUGAACCGCAUGGUUCAAUAGUGAAUGACGGUUUUGCUGUCACUUAUAGAUGGAUCCGCGCCGCAUUAGCUAGUUGGUAAGGUAACGGCGUACCAAGGCAACGCUGCGUAGCCGACCUGGGAGGGUGAGCGGCCACAGUGAAACUGGGACACGGUCCAGACUCCUACGCGAGGCAGCAGUAGGGAAGCUGCCGCAAUGGGGGAAAGCCUGACGGAGCAGCAGCGCGUGAGUGAUGAAGGUCUUCGGAUCGUAAAACUCUGUUAUUAGGGAAGAACAAAUGUGUAAGUAACUAUGCACGUCGUGACGGUACCUAAUCAAAAAGCCACGGCUAACUACGUG